rnacentral:rRNA from 1 species
AUCAACGCUGGCGGCGUGCCUAACACAUGCAAGUCGAACGCGAGAGGGGCUUCGGCCCCGAUUGAGUGGCGAACGGGUGAGUAACACGUGGGUGACCUACCUUCGAGUGGGGGAUAACGUCCCGAAAGGGACGCUAAUACCGCAUAACAUUCCGCUUUUGAACAAGUGGAAAUCAAAGUCGGGGAUCGUAAGACCUGGCGCUUGAAGAGGGGCCCGCGUCCGAUUAGCUAGUUGGUGAGGUAACGGCUCACCAAGGCGACGAUCGGUAGCCGGCCUGAGAGGGCGGACGGCCACACUGGGACUGAGACACGGUCCAGACUCCUACGGGAGGCAGCAGUGGGGAAUUGUUCGCAAUGGGCGCAAGUCUGACGACGCAACGCCGCGUGGAGGAUGAAGGUCUUCGGAUUGUAAACUCCUGUUGCUCGGGACGAAAUGCUCCAGCCUAACACGUUGGAGUUUGACGGUACCGGGUGAGGAAGCCCCGGCUAACUCUGUGCCAGCAGCCGCCGU